rnacentral:rRNA from 1 species
UCCGUAGGUGAACCUGCGGAAGGAUCAUUACAGAAAGUAAACGCGGGUCAAACCGCGAACUUCUAAACCUUUGACGAUUGACUCAUGUUGCCUCGGCGGGUUCGCCCGCCAGAGGAUACAUCAAAACUCCUGUUUUAACGGCGUUGUCUGAGCUACAAGCAACGAAUCAAAACUUUCAACAACGGAUCUCUUGGUUCUGGCAUCGAUGAAGAACGCAGCGAAAUGCGAUAAGUAGUGUGAAUUGCAGAAUUCAGUGAAUCAUCGAAUCUUUGAACGCACAUUGCGCCCCUUGGUAUCCCGAGGGGCAUGCCUGUUCGAGCGUCAUUUCACCACUCAAGCCUGGCUUGGUGUUGGGCGACGUCCCUUUGGGACACGCCUCGAAACGCUCGGCGGCGUGGCACCGGCUUUAAGCGUAGCAGAAUCUUUCGCUUUAAAAGUCGGGGCCCCGUCUGCCGGAAGACCUACUCGCAAGGUUGACCUCGGAUCAGGUAGGGAUACCCGCUGAGCUUAAGCAUAUCAAUAAGCGGAGGAAAUCUCU